UGAAAAGUGAGCGGAUGAACUGAGGGUAGCGGAGAAAUUCCAAUCGAACCUGGAGAUAGCUGGUUCUCUCCGAAAUAGCUUUAGGGCUAGCCUCAAGUGAUGAUUAUUGGAGGUAGAGCACUGUUUGGACGAGGGGCCCCUCUCGGGUUACCGAAUUCAGACAAACUCCGAAUGCCAAUUAAUUUAACUUGGGAGUCAGAACAUGGGUGAUAAGGUCCGUGUUCGAAAGGGAAACAGCCCAGACCACCAGCUAAGGUCCCAAAAUAUAUGUUAAGUGGAAAAGGAUGUGGCGUUGCCCAGACAACUAGGAUGUUGGCUUAGAAGCAGCCAUCAUUUAAAGAGUGCGUAAUAGCUCACUAGUCGAGUGACACUGCGCCGAAAAUGUACCGGGGCUAAACAUAUUACCGAAGCUGUGGAUUGUCCUUUGGACAAUGGUAGGAGAGCGUUCUAAGGGCGUUGAAGCAUGAUCGUAAGGACAUGUGGAGCGCUUAGAAGUGAGAAUGCCGGUGUGAGUAGCGAAAGACGGGUGAGAAUCCCGUCCACCGAUUGACUAAGGUUUCCAGAGGAAGGCUCGUCCGCUCUGGGUUAGUCGGGUCCUAAGCUGAGGCCGACAGGCGUAGGCGAUGGAUAACAGGUUGAUAUUCCUGUACCACCUAUAAUCGUUUUAAUCGAUGGGGGGACGCAGUAGGAUAGGCGAAGCGUGCGAUUGGAUUGCACGUCUAAGCAGUAAGGCUGAGUAUUAGGCAAAUCCGGUACUCGUUAAGGCUGAGC
rnacentral:rRNA from 1 species